GGGGGAUAACUACUGGAAACGGUAGCUAAUACCGCAUAACGUCGCAAGACCAAAGAGGGGGACCUUCGGGCCUCUUGCCAUCGGAUGUGCCCAGAUGGGAUUAGCUAGUAGGUGGGGUAACGGCUCACCUAGGCGACGAUCCCUAGCUGGUCUGAGAGGAUGACCAGCCACACUGGAACUGAGACACGGUCCAGACUCCUACGGGAGGCAGCAGUGGGGAAUAUUGCACAAUGGGCGCAAGCCUGAUGCAGCCAUGCCGCGUGUAUGAAGAAGGCCUUCGGGUUGUAAAGUACUUUCAGCGGGGAGGAAGGGAGUAAAGUUAAUACC
rnacentral:rRNA from 1 species